AGCACCGGCUAACUACGUGCCAGCAGCCGCGGUAAUACGUAGGGUGCAAGCGUUAUCCGGAAUUAUUGGGCGUAAAGGGCUCGUAGGCGGUUCGUCGCGUCCGGUGUGAAAGUCCAUCGCUUAACGGUGGAUCCGCGCCGGGUACGGGCGGGCUUGAGUGCGGUAGGGGAGACUGGAAUUCCCGGUGUAACGGUGGAAUGUGUAGAUAUCGGGAAGAACACCAAUGGCGAAGGCAGGUCUCUGGGCCGUCACUGACGCUGAGGAGCGAAAGCGUGGGGAGCGAACAGGAUUAGAUACCCUGGUAGUCCACGCCGUAAACGGUGGAUGCUGGAUGUGGGGACCAUUCCACGGUCUCCGUGUCGGAGCCAACGCGUUAAGCAUCCCGCCUGGGGAGUACGGCCGCAAGGCUAAAACUCAAAGAAAUUGACGGGGGCCCGCACAAGCGGCGGAGCAUGCGGAUUAAUUCGAUGCAACGCGAAGAACCUUACCUGGGCUUGACAUGUUCCCGACAGCCCCAGAGAUGGGGCCUCCCUUCGGGGCGGGUUCACAGGUGGUGCAUGGUCGUCGUCAGCUCGUGUCGUGAGAUGUUGGGUUAAGUCCCGCAACGAGCGCAACCCUCGCCCUGUGUUGCCAGCACGUCGUGGUGGGAACUCACGGGGGACCGCCGGGGUCAACUCGGAGGAAGGUGGGGAUGACGUCAGAUCAUCAUGCCCCUUACGUCCAGGGCUUCACGCAUGCUACAAUGGCCGGUACAACGGGAUGCGACACCGCGAGGUGGAGCGGAUCCCUUAAAACCGGUCUCAGUUCGGAUUGGAGUCUGCAACCCGACUCCAUGAAGGCGGAGUCGCUAGUAAUCGCGGAUCAGCAACGCCGCGGUGAAUGCGUUCCCGGGCCUUGUACACACCGCCCGUCAAGUCAUGAAAGUGGGUAGCACCCGAAGCCGGUGGCCCAACCUUUUGGGGGGAGCCGUCUAAGGUGAGACUCGUGAUUGGGACUAAGUCGUAACAAGGUAGCCGUACCGGAAGGUGCGGCUG
rnacentral:rRNA from 1 species